GUAGCCGGCGCUGGGUUGCAGCUUAACUUGUAAUUUAACAAUUACAAGUUAAGCUGCAACAAAAUACUAUAUGAGUGGAUGUUAUUUUCUAUUAAUUUGGUAUUUCAUUCAAUUUUCAAUUCAAUUCAAUUCAGUUUUAUUUGUAUAGCGCCAAUUCAUAACAGAAGUUAUCUCAGGACACUUUUCAAAUAGAGCAGGUCUAGACCGAACUCUUUAACAUUAAUUACAGAGACCCAACAGUACCACCAUGAGCAAGCACUUGGCGACAAGGGCAAGGAAAAACUGCCUGUUAAAAGGCAGAAACCUAGGACAGAUCCUCCGGCUCUAGGUGGGUGGUCGUCUGUCUCGACCAGUUGGGGUGAGAGAGAGAGAGAGAGAGAGAGAGAGAGAGAGAGAGAGAGAGAGAGA